CCUACGGGUGGCAGCAGUAGGGAAUCUUCCACAAUGGGCGAAAGCCGGAUGGAGCAACGCCGCGUGGGUGAAGAAGGUCUUCGGAUCGUAAAACCCUGUUGUUAGAGAAGAAAGUGCGUGAGAGUAACUGUUCACGUUUCGACGGUAUCUAACCAGAAAGCCACGGCUAACUACGUGCCAGCAGCCUAGGUAAUCCGUAGGUGGCAAGCGUUGUCCGGAUUUAUGGGGCGUAAAGGGAACGCAGGCGGUCUUUUAAGUCUGAUGUGAAAGCCUUCGGCUUAACCGGAGUAGUGCAUUGGAAACUGGGAGACUUGAGUGCAGAAGAGGAGAGUGGAACUCCAGGUGUAGCGGUGAAAUGCGUAGAUAUAUGGAAGAACACCAGUGGCGAAAGCGGCUCUCGGGUCUGUAACUGACGCUGAGGUUCGAAAGCGUGGGUAGCAAACAGGAUUAGAUACCCGGGUAGUC
rnacentral:rRNA from 1 species